GCGCGCGGUCUGCGGCAGGCAGAAAUUCAUAUUUGCGCCACGCGGCGCGGCGGCCUCUCCUCGCUAUUGCGCGUUGCCGUUCACAGAGCUGCCUCCAGGGCUUGUUUUGGUAAUGCCUUUCUCCCAUUUAUGGGCUACCCUAGUGGCCUGAGUACAUGACCCGGCGGGUUUGUGCCGGGUCAUUUU
rnacentral:sRNA from 20 species